UCGGAGGAAGUUAUUACUUAGGCGAUUCAGGAUCGCAGCUAAGUCCCGAGUGCGACGUAUAGUACACACUCGGAGGAGGGCAGUGCUUAGGUGAUUCUUGAUCACGGCUAAGUCCCCAAGUGCGACGUAUAGUGCACACUCGAAGGAGUUUUUAGUACUUAGGUGAUUCUUGAUCACAACUAAGUCCCCGAGUGUGACGUAUAGUGCACACUCGAAGGAAGGUAUUACUUAGGUGAUUCUUGAUCACAGCUAAGUCCCCGAGUGCGAUGUAUAGUGCACACUCGAAGGAGGUUACUACUUAGGCGAUACAGGAUCGCAGCUAAGUCCCCGAGUGCGACGUGAAGGGUACACUCGGAGGAAGGUAGUACUUAGGUGAUUCUUGAUCACAGCUAAGUCCCCGAGUGCGACGUAUAGUGCACACUCGAAGGAGUUUAGUACUUAGGUGAUUCUUGAUCACAGCUAAGUCCCCGAGUGCGACGUAUAGUGCACACUCGAAGGAAGUUAGUACUGAGACGAUGCAGGAUCGCAGCUAAGUCUCCGAGUGCGACGUGAAGUGCACACUCGGAGGAAGGUAUUACUUAGGCGAUUCGGGAUCGCAGCUAAGUUUUUUUUUUGUGUGCGACCGUAGUCUGCAACCGCGGAAGAACUCUGAAUCUGCAAAAGAAACUGAAUCUGUCGUAUAUUAUUUCGUCAAAACUUGUUCGUUACACUACUUCAGUCGACGAUCACGUAUAAAAACGCUUGAGGAGGUCUCCGUUCCAUGCGCGUGGCUCGUCUGUCUCCCUCUGAAUGUUGUAGAGUCUGUAUGCCCCGUUGUUCAGCACCUUGGAAAUGAUGAAAGGCCCUUCCCAGGCCGGAGCCAACUUGUGUGGUCUUUGCUGAUCCACUCGGAGCACCAAAUCGCCAGCUUGGAACGUGCGGCUCCUGACAUGUCGUGCAUGAAAACGUCGCAGAUCUUGCUGGUAAAUUGUUGAGAGAGUAAGUGCCAUCUCGCGCUCCUCCUCUAGAAGAUCUACUCCAUCUUGCCUUGCUUGUUGUGCUUCGGCUUCGGAGAAGAGUUCGACUCGCGGGGCAUUGUGAAGCAGGUCACUCGGAAGGACCGCUUCUGCUCCAUAGACGAGGAAGAACGAUGAUCGCCCUGUUGAUCUGUUCGGAGUGGUGCGGAGGCCCCAAAGUACUGAAGGUAACUCGGUUACCCAUGCACCAGCAGCAUGUCCUACCUCUCGCAAGAGUCGAGGCUUCAAACCUUGAAGGAUAAGUCCAUUCGCACGCUCAGCUUGUCCAUUGGAUUGCGGAUGUGCAACGGAAGCAAAAUCCACUCGGAUACCCUGACUCGCACAGAAACCUUUGAAUCUGUCCGAGUCGAAGUUUGUCCCAUUGUCCAUGAUUGUGCUGUGAGGCACUCCGAAUCUGGAGAUGAUGUCUCUGACAAACUUCACGGCUGUGGAGGCGUCGAGUUUCUUGAUGGGCUUGGCUUCUAUCCAUUUUGUAAACUUGUCGACUGCCACCAACAGAUGUGUGUAGCCUCCUUGGCCUGUCUUGAAUGGUCCGACUGUAUCUAAUCCCCAAACUGCAAAUGGCCACACAAGUGGGAUUGUCUUUAGUGCAGAUGUUGGCUUGUGGGACUUGUUGGAGUAGAACUGACAGCCUUCGCAUCGAUCGACCAUAGCUUUGGCCAUCUCGUUAGCC
rnacentral:lncRNA from 1 species